rnacentral:rRNA from 1 species
GAAAAACUCCGGUGGUAUGGGAUGGGCCCGCGUCUGAUUAGGCAGUUGGCGGGGUAACGGCCCACCAAACCGACGAUCAGUAGCCGGCCUGAGAGGGCGACCGGCCACAUUGGGACUGAGACACGGCCCAAACUCCUACGGGAGGCAGCAGUGGGGAAUAUUGCACAAUGGGGGAAACCCUGAUGCAGCGACGCCGCGUGAGCGAAGAAGUAUUUCGGUAUGUAAAGCUCUAUCAGCAGGGAAGAUAAUGACGGUACCUGACUAAGAAGCCCCGGCUAACUACGUGCCAGCAGCCGCGGUAAUACGUAGGGGGCAAGCGUUAUCCGGAUUUACUGGGUGUAAAGGGAGCGUAGACGGCAAGGCAAGUCUGAUGUGAAAACCCAGGGCUUAACCCUGGGACUGCAUUGGAAACUGUCUGGCUCGAGUGCCGGAGAGGUAAGCGGAAUUCCUAGUGUAGCGGUGAAAUGCGUAGAUAUUAGGAAGAACACCAGUGGCGAAGGCGGCUUACUGGACGGUAACUGACGUUGAGGCUCGAAAGCGUGGGGAGCAAACAGGAUUAGAUACCCUGGUAGUCCACGCCGUAA